GGGCUUGUGGCUCAGUGGUAGAGCACUUGCCUCCCACGCGAGGGGCCCUGGGUCCGAUCCUCGGCACCA
rnacentral:tRNA from 1 species